rnacentral:tRNA from 1 species
GGGGCUGUGGUGAAGGGGUUUAACACGCUAGUCUGCAAAACUAGUAUACGCCAGUUCAAAUCUGGUCAGUCCCUC